rnacentral:rRNA from 1 species
UGGGGAAUUUUGGACAAUGGGCGAAAGCCUGAUCCAGCAAUGCCGCGUGUGUGAAGAAGGCCUUCGGGUUGUAAAGCACUUUUGUCCGGAAAGAAAUCCUUGGCUCUAAUACAGUCGGGGGAUGACGGUACCGGAAGAAUAAGCACCGGCUAACUACGUGCCAGCAGCCGCGGUAAUACGUAGGGUGCAAGCGUUAAUCGGAAUUACUGGGCGUAAAGCGUGCGCAGGCGGUUUGCUAAGACCGAUGUGAAAUCCCCGGGCUCAACCUGGGAACUGCAUUGGUGACUGGCAGGCUAGAGUAUGGCAGGAGGGGGGUAGAAUUCCACGUGUAGCAGUGAAAUGCGUAGAGAUGUGGAGGAAUACCGAUGGCGAAGGCAGCCCCCUGGGCCAAUACUGACGCUCAUGCACGAAAGGCGUGGGGGA